GGAGAGAAACGCGGGAGUGGUGGGGGAUGUGGGUUCCUGUGUGCUGAGCGGAGGAGCCGGGGUGGGGGCGGUGCAAGCGGAAGAAAGAGCCAAGAGAGCGGAAAAUCGGCUGGUGCUGUCGCCGCCCGAGUUUUGUGUUUCCACAGCUUUCCAGUUGGGUACAACGGAGCCGAACUCCGUGUUCCCGGGCUGGAGAGCCUUGGUGUCCCCGCCAACCCCCAGUAGGAAGCGAGCGCUGUAACAUGGGAGGCGUGGUCGCCACUGAUCUUGUCUCCCCCCAGAGCCUUCCUAAAGGCUCUGCCGCCACGAGACUGCACCACCGGGAAAGAAGUGUGUGAAAGUGUACUCCGUAAACAGGCAAUCCUGUACGCGACUUAGGGGCAGAAAGACCCUCCGCACUUUUAUCAUUUGAAAGUAAGGUGGACGAUUCCAGCCUGGUGUCCCUGAGGGUACACACAGGCCCCCCGCGCAGCCAGAGGUGACUCAGGAACCCCCCUUCCAACCCCUGCGUAGAACGCCGAACAGUCUUCGGAGAAUUCGCUUUCCUCCACGUGAAAA
rnacentral:lncRNA from 10 species